rnacentral:lncRNA from 1 species
GCGAGCCCAGCCCCGGCGGAACCAGUCUGGGACCCGGUCGGGGGCGCAGCACGCGAAGACGAGGCGGCGGCGGCGGCAGCGGGGCAGCAGCAGGCGGUCAGUCAGGCGACGGCGGCAACGCCCGGACCCGCUGAGCCUGCCCGUUCCUGGCACCGGGAGCCCGCGUGGGAGGUGGCCCCAGGCGGGAGGCAGCCUGUGGAGCGGGGAGGAGCAGGAGGCUUCCAGGGCCAGGCCUCAGGCAUCUCCACGAUCUCGGGCUCCAGCCCGCCACCGAGCCGGUGAGCCAGGCCCUGGGCUGGCGGGUCUGCGCUGUGACCCCGAAUUCCUGCACAACACACUCGGCAGCCUCAUGGUCGCCCAAGUGAUCCAGUAUCAAAUGUGAAAGUGGACAUGCAUUCUUAAGAUUUGGUCACCUUCUGCUUGUCUGGCUGUGAGUGAAAAUCCAGAGUAAGUUAGGUGCCAGCUGAGAUAUUUACAAUGCAAUCACAGGUGAGUAGAGAAUUCUUCUUUAACUGAAAUUGUACCUCUGCUGCCAAGAGAUGGGAACAUUUCUCCUGUUAGUGUGGAUAUUGCAAGUGCAUUCAGGAAC